CCUACGGGGCGCAGCAGUAGGGAAUCUCCGGCAAUGGACGAAAGUCUGACCGAGCAACGCCGCGUGAGUGAAGAAGGUUUUCGGAUCGUAAAACUCUGUUGGUAGAGAAGAACGCUGGUGAGAGUGGAAAGCUCAUCAAGUGACGGUAACUACCCAGAAAGGGACGGCUAACUACGUGCCAGCAGCAGCGGUAAUACGUAGGUCCCGAGCGUUGUCCGGAUUUAUUGGGCGUAAAGCGAGCGCAGGUGGUUUAUUAAGUCUGGUGUAAAAGGCAGUGGCUUAACCAUUGUAUGCAUUGGAAACUGGUAGACUUGAGUGCAGGAGAGGAGAGUGUAAUUCCAUGUGUAGCGGUGAAAUGCGUAGAUAUAUGGAGGAACACCGGUGGCGAAAGCGGCUCUCUGGCCUGUAACUGACACUGAGGCUCGAAAGCGUGGGGAGCAAACAGGAUUAGAUACCCGCGUAGUC
rnacentral:rRNA from 1 species